rnacentral:lncRNA from 1 species
CUUCAGUUUUUUGUUUAGUAUCGAGGUGUCAUAAUUUUUGUGAAGGAAUGUCAUAAUUUUUAAGAAGAGAUAUUAUAAUUCUGUUUCUGCAUAUAUUCAUCAUUUUUUUCCUUCCGUGGUGUAUUAUAAUAUUUUGAGAGUCAUAAUUUAGGUUACAGAUGACAGUAAGUAUUGGUAGGAGAGGUUAAUGCCUUCGAUUUUUGUUUAGCGCCGGAGUGUCAUAAUUUUUUUGAAGAGGUAUCAUAAUUUUUGUGAAGGGGUGUCAUAACCAAAGGAUAGAGAUAUUUUCAUUAUAUAAAUUUUUUAAACGAAAAAGAUGAUUUACAGAUAUUAAAUGUGCAUUGGAAAGUGAUGACUAUGUGGACCAAUCGGACAAGACAGCUCCAUAUCAGAUUUUUUACACCGCCUGUGGUGCACAAAAAAUUUUUAGUUCAUGAAUGGCAUCACAAUGGAUCACCUUAAUGCUCUUAUGGGUUGGUUUUGAUAGGAUCCAUUGCUUUUAACAAGUCAUUUUAGAUGUGUCUUGAAUAUAUACUACUAUGGAUUUUUUUUUAUUUUUUUGAUACAAAUGAAUGAUCACAUCAUUCUAAUGCGAAUAUAAUUCAAAAAAUCAAUAUAUAAAAUAUUACGAAGCGUCUGUAGGCACACAAGUCC